rnacentral:tRNA from 1 species
UAAAACACUAGUAAAGCUAUUACACUGCCUUGUCAAGGCAAAGUCGUGGGUUAAAACCCCGCGUGUUUU